rnacentral:rRNA from 1 species
AGAGUUUGAUCAUGGUCAGGAUGAACGCUAGCGGGAGGCUUAACACAUGCAAGUCGAACGGUAACAUAGAAAGCUUGCUUUCUGAUGACGAGUGGCGCACGGGUGAGUAACGCGUAUGCAACUUACCCUCAACUAGGGAAUAGCCCAGAGAAAUCUGGAUUAAUACCCCAUAAUAUCAACAGUUCGCAUGUUCAGUUGAUUAAAGAUUUACGGUUGAGGAUAGGCAUGCGUCCUAUUAGUUUGUUGGUGAGGUAACGGCUCACCAAGACUACGAUAGGUAGGGGGCCUGAGAGGGUGAUCCCCCACACUGGUACUGAGACACGGACCAGACUCCUACGGGAGGCAGCAGUGAGGAAUAUUGGUCAAUGGACGAAAGUCUGAACCAGCCAUCCCGCGUGAAGGACUGACGGCCCUACGGGUUGUAAACUUCUUUUAUUUGGGAAGAAACCCCCCUACGUGUAGGGGGCUGACGGUACCAAACGAAUAAGCACCGGCUAACUCCGUGCCAGCAGCCGCGGUAAUACGGAGGGUGCAAGCGUUAUCCGGAUUUAUUGGGUUUAAAGGGUGCGCAGGCGGGAGAUUAUGUCAGUGGUGAAAUCCUACAGCUCAACUGUAGAACUGCCAUUGAAACUGAUCUUCUUGAAUCUGGCUGAUGUGGGCGGAAUAUGUCGUGUAGCGGUGAAAUGCUUAGAUAUGACAUGGAACACCCGAUUGCGAAGGCAGCUCACAAAACCAGUAUUGACGCUCAGGCACGAAAGCGUGGGUAGCGAACAGGAUUAGAUACCCUGGUAGUCCCACGCCCGUAAACGAUGAUCACUCGACAUUGGCGAUAUACAGUCCGUGUCCAA